GGUGAUGGAAGAGUAGUGUGCCCAGAAGGUGUAGGGAAGCUUCGAGCUGUUACCAUAGAUGUUAAAGUUUGCCCUACACACCUUUUCCAUCUGACUCUAGGUUAUAUCUUCUCAUAAUAAACUGGCGAUUUAGUUUCAUUGCCUUUAUCUUCAUGUGUCAGUUCUACCGAUGGUCAAAGAAAUAAGUGCUAGAUAAUGGAAAUAAAAUGGAAUGACUCCAUUUGAUCUGCUUAUACCUGAUCAGAUUACAUUAGGGGUUCUUAAGUAGUUGUCUUUCGAGAACAUGCUUGAUUAACAAUUAAAGAGAUAAUGAAAAUUCA